CAGCCUCUACAACCUUAUGACGGCCUUCUAAGCCGUAGAUCGCGGGUUCAAAUCCCGCCGGGUCCG
rnacentral:tRNA from 1 species